rnacentral:misc_RNA from 1 species
AACGCACAUGGCGCUUCCGGAAAUUCUCUGGGAGCAUGCUUGUUUCAGUGUCUGUGGCAACCCUCCGUGGACGUUUUACGGCGUUCCGCGGGAGUCUGGGCUUCCGGCGCUUGCGCUGGUGGCCUGAAGUGCACGUGUGGGCACGUUGCCGGGUGUCAAAGCCCGUUUACCCUCCCAAGGGUAGCGCCUCGCGAACAUUACAAACCCAAUGGCGAUUCCAACCGCCUGGUGUGGUGGUGUGAACCUGCGGCUGCUUAACUGCGGCGGCGGGAACGCAACCUGCUCCAAGCGGCUGCUGCUGGGCGUUUGCUUGCUACUACUCCAAACUUGGCUUGAGGGGCAGUGUGUCGAGGUCGCGCGUUUACCGCGUGGCCCAACCCAACCCAACACAAUUCAACGAUCGGACCUGAAAUCAAGUAAGAUUACCCGCUGAAUUUAA